rnacentral:rRNA from 1 species
GUCGAACGCUGGCGGCGUGCUUAACACAUGCAAGUCGAACGGAAAGGCCCUGCUUUUGUGUGGUGCUCGAGUGGCGAACGUGUGAGUAACACGUGAGUAACCUGCCCUUUACUUUGUGAUAACUUCAGGAAACUGGGGCUAAUACCUGCUAGGUGCUCCUGCUGCAUGGUGGGGGUUGGACAGUUUCGGCGGUUGGGGAUCGACUCGCGGCUUAUCAGCUUGUUGGUGGGGUAGUGGCUUACCAAGGCUUUGACGGGUAGCCGGCCUGAGAGGGUGACCGGCGACAUUGGGACUGAGAUACGGAGCAGACGGCUAAGGGAGGCAGCAGUGGGGAAUAUUGCACAAUGGGCGGAAGCGUGAUGAAGAAACGCCGGGUGCGGGAUGACGGCCUACGGGUGGUAAACCGCUUUCGCCUGUGACGAAGCGUGAGUGACGGUAAUGGGUAAAGAAGCACCGGCUAACUACGUG